rnacentral:rRNA from 1 species
UACGGGGGGGGCUAGCGUUGUUCGGAAUCACUGGGCGUAAAGCGUGAGUAGGUUGUUUGGAAAGUUAGAUGUGAAAGCCCGGGGCUUAACUCCGGAAUUGCAUUUAAAACUACCAGACUAGAGAUCGGUAGGGGAUAGUGGAAUUCCUAGUGUAGAGGUGAAAUUCGUAGAUAUCAGGAGGAACACCGGUGGCGAAGGCGGCUGCCUGGACCGAUAUUGACGCUGAGACGCGAAAGCGUGGGUAGCAAACAGG